GGGGUGCUCGAGUGGCGAACGGGUGAGUAACACGUGAGUAACCUGCCCUUGACUUUGGGAUAACUUCAGGAAACUGGGGCUAAUACCGGAUAGGAGCUCCUGCUGCAUGGUGGGGGUUGGAAAGUUUCGGCGGUUGGGGAUGGACUCGCGGCUUAUCAGCUUGUUGGUGGGGUAGUGGCUUACCAAGGCUUUGACGGGUAGCCGGCCUGAAAGGGUGACCGGCCACAUUGGGACUGAGAUACGGCCCAG
rnacentral:rRNA from 1 species